AGUGUCACUGGCGAAGCCAUCAAGCACUCCCUUGGAGCUCAAAAUCCAGUAUGUGUAGCUUGCGCUCGUUUCUGAUGCUCUCAUGUUUCCUUCACCCGAUUUGUGAUCGUUGCAGGUCCGGCUGGUUCCUUACAACCCGGAUUACCUGGAUGAAUCUGUUCUGUGGGCUGAGAGCAAUGACACUGGCAAAGGCUACAGGUGCAUCAGGAUGGUGAACAACAUCCGCUUGAACUUUGAUGCUUUCCAUGGAGACAAGGACCACGGAGGAGUGCGAGACGGAACCACGGUGGUGCUGUGGGAGUGGCUCAAAGGGGACAACCAGCGGUGGAAGAUCGAACCCCAAUGUAAGUUCUACCUCAAAAAGGAGAAACUUUGAGCUCUUGCUGCAGCAUCUGCUAAGAAUUUUGUCCUUGAUUGAUCUCAAUUUCUCCACGGAAGUAGAGGCAGCAAUCAGCUUCGCUGAUCAAUUUCCAUGGCUUUGAUUUCUGUGCUAAGAAUGAAGUAGAUCGAGCAUAUUUAGCUGCUCUUUGUUCAGUAUUGUUUGGUAUACCGUGCAGCCUCCGACCCUCCUCCCCCCACCAACUACGCCGGCGGCAGGCCGCCACAGCGUACUGUUCGGAUCUUGACCAAGGCAGGGCCGGAUUACUCCCUCACCGUCCGUGAUGGAAGAGUGGUGCUUGCACCCACUGAUCCCAACGAUGACUACCAGGCAAGAUUGAUCCGUGACAAGUCUUCUCUUGGAUUUCGUGGCGAGAUUUUUGGCUGUUGUCUCACUUCGUUUGUUCUUUUGGAUUGCAGCGUUGGUACAAGGACAUGAGGUACGGGACCGAGGUGAAGGACGAAGAAGGUUUCCCAAGCUUUGCUCUCGUCAACAAAGUGACCGGCGAAGCUAUCAAGCACUCCAUCGGAGCUACGAAUCCAGUGAGUUCAGCAGCUGAAACACCACUUGAAUUGCUAAUUCCUCACUUCAUUCCUGGUAUUUGUGUGUCUCAGAUCCGACUGGUUCCAUACAACCCAGAGUACCUCGAUGAGUCCGUUCUGUGGUCUGAGAGUAAUGACACCGGUGAGGGGUACAGGUGCAUCAGGAUGGUGAACAACAUCCGCUUGAACUUUGAUGCCUUCCAUGGAGACAAGGACCAUGGUGGAGUGAGGGAUGGAACCACUAUUGUGCUG
rnacentral:lncRNA from 1 species